UUUAAAUUAAGAAUACAUGUAAACAGUGCCUGACAUUUAGCUAUCACUAGAUACAGUUUGGCUAUUAUUAUUAUUUGUUUUUCUUGUGCCAGAACUUACAUAUAUUAUUUCAUUUAAUUUUCAUAACAACCCUGCCGAGGAGCUUAGUAUUAGCUCCAUUUAUAUAGCUGAGAAACCUUUGCUUCUAGAAGCUAAAUAACUUGCCUGAGAUCACAAAUAUGGUGACUGGUAGAAGCAUAAUUCACAUCCAGAAUAUGCUUGACUGCCAAGCUAGUGUUCAAAAACCUUAUAUAGCCUUUCCCAGGCUUAACAGAGCUCUCUAGAUUUUCCAGGUAGCCCUGUCCAAUAACUAGUUUAGAUUGUUUAAUUUUCCAGAGAAGAUGUUUUGGUUUCAUAUACCAGUGACUUGGUCCCCUAAAGAUCAGUUAAAAAAAUUCUAAUACAAAUGUCAUCUAUUGUAUUAGAAUUCUAUUUUUGUUGUUGUGUUGUUUGAGAUGGAGUUUCGCUCUUGUUGCCCAGGUUGGAGUGCAAUGGCACGAUCUCAGCUCACCACAAUCUCCACCUCCCAGGUUCAAGAGAUUUUCCUGCCUCGGCCUCCUGAGUUGCUGGGAUUACAGAUCUGUAGAACAGAAGUCUGGCAUGGGAUGGCAUGGAUUCUUUGCUCAAGAUCUCACAAAGCCAAAAUCAAGAUGUUGGUAGGGCUGCAUUCCUUUUCCACGGCAAUUGGGAAGAAUUUGUAUCCAAGCUCUAUCCAAGGAUCACUUAGUUUUGCAUUCUCCAUCCUGGGAAUGAUCUUUCUCCUCACCUUCUAAGUCAACCACUGAAUCUAAUCUACAAAUGAAAACUAAGAAUCUUCAAAAUGAAAGGACCUUCCAUGAUAAUUCCUUCUAGCAGACCCUAAAACACCGACAUUGCAUCUGCUGGCCCUAGAUCACCACAUACAGAUCACCUGGGUUAAUUCCUCUAGUUUCAGAAACAGGUUGUUCAUUGCUUUUCUGUGAAGUGAGUAGUGGGUGUCGCAGAUCUUUCCAGCAAAACUUCCCUUAGUAGCUUCUUUUUACUUCAGGUGUUUAGAGUCUGCUAUCUUAUUCAUCAUUUAAUACACCAAAAUGUGAAUAUUUCACAAUUCUCUGAUUGUGCCUGGUGUAUGUGCAUCUGUGUGACAUUCCCCCACUCAAUACACUCAAUGUUGUUUCAUACUGGAAUGGCUCUCAUCACAGCAAAUUCUUGCUAGCUGUUUGUUAGGAACUCUGUGAAGAGGAUGCAGGCAUAAGAUUAAGGUUCAGUCUAGGUGAGUUUCUGGGCUCUCUUAAUCCUGUAAAACUAUGGUUUUAUGAUUUCAAUCAACACUGGUCAACUAAGAGCCAUGAGCCAUAGAUAACCACUCGCUAGUGAUAGUGAUCAGUACAGACAGCCACUUUGAAUUAGUGUGUGUGUAUAUCUAUAUAUUUUUUGAGACAGAUUUUUGCUCUUGUUGCCCUGGCUGGAGUGCAAUGGCGUGAUCUUGGCUCACCACAACCUCCGCCUCCCAGGUUCAAGUGACUCUCCUGCCUCAGCCUCUCGAGGAGUAGCUGGAAUUACAGGCAUGGACCACCACGCCUGGCUAAUUUUGCAUUUUUAGUAGGGACAGGGUUUCUCCAUAUUGGUCAGGCUGGUCUCGAACUACCGACCUCAGGUGAUCCACCCACCUCGGCCUCCCAAAGUGCUGGGAUUACAGGCGUGAGCCACCAUGCCUGGCCAUGUUUGUGUGUAUUUUUAAAUGGGGCUUAUGUUUUAAAUGCCUCAUGAACUUUCAAAACGGCACUGGGAGAGUUAUAUCUUUAAAUGCCAUUGAAUAGUGUCACACUAGCCUUAAAGAUGAUAGGAAUAGGAUAAACUUGUUAAUUUCACUGCUUGGCUAUUAGGGUAACCAUAGUUACUCUAAUUUUCCCUGCAUUGUCAUGGUUAUAACAAAUGUUUUAUGUAAAAGGACAGAUAGUAAAUAUUUAUGCUUUCUGGGUCUCUUAAGGUCUCUGUCACAUAGUCUCAUUUUUUUUUUCUCCUUUUCCUCUUCCUCUUAUUUAUCCUGUUUGUCCUCAAUUCUUUAAAAACCAUCCUUAGCUUGGAGACAGUACAAAGACGGGAUGCAGGCCACAUUUGGCUCAGGGGCCAAUAGAUUAUCAGCUCCUGGUCUAUAUCAUAGUUGUUUCUUUUUUAAACAGUUCACUAUUAAUGGAAAGUUAGGUUGUUUACAGUUUUCACUAUUUUAAGAAAUGCUGUAGUUAAAAUCCUACUACUUGUGUUUUUGUGGAUAUAUGCUGUAUUAGUCUGUUUUCAUGAUGCUCAUAAAGACAUACCUGAGACAGGGUAAUUUACAAAAGAAAGAGGUUUAGUGGACUUACAUUUUCACAUGGCUAGGAGGCCUCACAAUCAUGGAAAAAGGCAAAGAGGACCAAGUCAUGUCUUAUGUGGAUGGUGGCAGGCAAAGAGAGAGUUUGUGCUGGGAAACUCCAGUUUUUAAAGCCAUUAGGUCUUAUGAGACUCAUUCACUAUCAUGAAAACAGUAUAAGAAAGACCCAUCGCAUAAUUCAAUCACCUCCCACUGGGCUCCUCCCAUGAUUUGUGAGAAUUGUGGGAAUUACAAUUUAAGAUGAGAUUUGGGUGGGGACACAGCCAAACCAUGUCAUAUAGUGAUAGAAUCCUAGAAGUGUAGUCAGUGGUUAAAGGGUAUUUGUAUUUAUAUUGAGGUGGAUCUUGCCAAAUUAACCUUUGCAAAGUUUGUACCAUUUAUACGUCCACAAAUAAGAGUUUGAGUACUAUUCCCUACACCCUUGUAUAAACUUGAUAUUAUCAAACUUUUGAAUUCCACCCAUCUGAUGAAUAAAAAAUAGUACUUCACUUUUAAAAAAUUGUAU
rnacentral:lncRNA from 13 species